GGUCGAUUAGCUCAGUUGGUAAGCUCAUCACAACACACCUUGAUCUCGAUCAUAUCCUAACUCAUCAUAGGUUAGAGCGUGGUGCUAAUAUCGUAUGUUAACGCCAAGGCCGCGGGUUCGACCCCCGUAUUGACCA